rnacentral:rRNA from 1 species
UGAACGCUGGCGGCGUGCUUAACACAUGCAAGUCGAACGAGAAAGUUCUUUUCGGAGAACGAGUAGAGUGGCGCACGGGUGAGUAACACGUGGAUAAUCUACCUUCAAGCCCGGGAUAACUAUUCGAAAGGAUAGCUAAUACCUGAUAAAGUAUAUGACUUUUAAGGUUAUAUAUGAAAGACAGCCUCUGUAUAUGCUGUUGCUUGGAGAUGAGUCCGCGCACCAUUAGCUAGUUGGUGGGGUAAAGGCCUACCAAGGCAACGAUGGUUAGCUGGUCUGAGAGGAUGAUCAGCCACACUGGAACUGGAACACGGUCCAGACUCCUACGGGAGGCAGCAGUGAGGGAUUUUGCGCAAUGGGGGAAACCCUGACGCAGCAACGCCGCGUGAGUGAAGAAGGUCUUUGGGUCGUAAAGCUCUGUCAACAGGGAAGAAGUUAACAUAUAUUAAUAGUGUAUGUUAUUGACGGUACCUGUGAAGGAAGCACCGGCUAACUCC